AAAAAGUUGACUUUAAAUAUUUUUUGCAUGUAAUUUUUUAAAAGGUUAAUGUUUCUUAAUGAAAUAAUUUAAAAUUUUCAGUGAUUAGAUUUAAUUUAAAUAAUUUUUAUUAUUUGAUAAAUUUUUUUUAAAACAGGAAAAUGUUAUGCCAGCAUUCGCGGUUAUAUUUCAUGUUUAAGUCAAUUAUAUUUGGGUUUCAGUUUAUUUAUUUAUAUUUUUUUAAUUUAGGUGAAAUUUAUUAAAAAUUUUUUUAUUUUCUGUUUAAUCUAUAUUUUAGACCAGGAUUAGAUACCCUGUUAUUUUAGUUAAUUUUAAAAAGUCCAGUAAGUAUUAAGUUUAUGAAAUUUAAAAGAUUUGGCGGUUUUUAAAUCUUUUUAGAGGAACCUGUAAUUUAAAUGAUAAUCCACGAUUUAUUUUACCUAAUUUUUUUUGUAUAUCUCUGUCGUUGAAUAUAAUGAAAAUUAAUUUUCUUUUUAAUUUUGAUUAAUUAUGUUAGGUCAAGGUGCAGUUAUAUUUGGGUUAUUAUGGGUUACAUUAAUUUUUUUUUUUGAAUAAUUUAAUUUGAAUUAAGUUUUAAUUUGGAUUUAAAAGUAAAAAUUUUUAUUUGAUUUUUUGAAUAAAGUUCUUAUUUAUGUACAUAUCGCCCGUCAUUCUCAAAAAUUGAGACAAGUCGUAACAAAGUAGAUGUACUGGAAAGUGUAUCUAGAAU
rnacentral:ncRNA from 1 species